rnacentral:rRNA from 1 species
AUUGAACGCUGGCGGCAGGCCUAACACAUGCAAGUCGAACGAGUGGCGGACGGGUGAGUAAUGUCUGGGAACCUGCCUGAUGGAGGGGGAUAACUACUGGAAACGGUAGCUAAUACCGCAUACCAUCAGAUGUGCCCAGAUGGGAUUAGCUUGUUGGUGGGGUAACGGCUACCCAAGGCGACGAUCCCUAGCUGGUCUGAGAGGAUGACCAGCCACACGGGAACUGAGACACGGUCCAGAAUCCCACGGGAGGAAGCAGUGGGGAAUAUUGCACAAUGGGAGCAAGCCUGAUGCAGUCAUGCCGCGUGUAUGAAGAAGGCAUUCGGGUUGUAAAGUAGUUUCAGCGGGGAGGCGUUACCCGCAGAAGAAGCACCGGCUAACUACGUGCCAGCAGCCGCGGUAAUUC